GCUUUCGGCCUACCUGGGACAAAUUUAAAAAUGUUAAUAAAUAUAUUGAAUACAUGGAAUCCUUGGGUGCAGGCAUUGCAAAAGUUGUUCCACCGCGACAAUGGUUUCCAUGGAGAAAUACAUAUUUAAGUGAAGAUAUUAUGAAAAUCAAUGUUCCAGCUCCGUUAUACAAAGUACGCAAUACCACAAUCACAGGGACGGCGUUUUGAAAGAUUAGCUGGUGGUAAUUUUCCAGAGAUUCUUCAAGGUGUUCAGCAUUUCUAAGACAUAAAAUGUAUUUGAUAUCGCCUACAAUAUUAAAAACACAUGGCAUUCAAUUCAAUAAGAACAAAAAAUUAUGGUCUUUAGGACCACCUGGGAAGAAUUUAAAAACUUCAAUAAGUACAUUGAAUAUAUGGAAUUCUUGGGUGCUCAUAAAGCGGGCAUUGCAAAAGU